CUUCAAAGUAAUCAAAAGAACAUCAGUCUAGUCUAUAUAGCAGAAUACAGCAGCUAAGAUAAGAGGGGGGUCUGUAUGGAGGUGUGACUGUCCAGAUAAGAGGAGGGUCUGUAUGGAGGUGUGACUGUCCAGAUAAGAGGAGGGUCUGUAUGGAGGUGUCACUGUCCAGAUAAGAGGAGGGUCUGUAUGGAGGUGACACUGUCCAGAUAAGAGGGGGGUCUGUAUGGAGGUGUCACUGUCCAGAUAAGAGGGGG